AAAACAGAACAAGAACACCCCUCUAACAGAUGCUCCUUUAAUGAUAACCCUUUUCUGUUUCCCACAGGCAACCGUAGCUCUAAGGCACAGUUAUCCAGAGAUCUCACUGGCAGAGGCUGAUGAAGAGAUGUAUUAGGGACAAGAGAACACACAGCACAACGGACUUCCGGAAUUUCAUCAGAGUUCUCUCCCCAGAUGACAUGACUGGAACAUCAACUCUUGGGAUGCUGUUGGGAAAUAAUCAGCAUUUACGAAGUUGGCAAUACAUGCCACAUUGGAUGCACCCUCAUGCCCCGAAUCUUUUGGCUUUGUUAUGGAAGCAAAAGAAGUCGACAUGAUCUCCAUUCCCAACUGCCCGCUCCUUAAAGGAUGAAGACUUCCCUCGGAUCACCAGAGCUCCCCACCUCACUAAGUUUAUGCUAAGGGAUGGUGAGGCAGGAUUUGGAAUCUUCCAGAAGUCCAUUC
rnacentral:lncRNA from 1 species